rnacentral:rRNA from 1 species
GGACUACAGGGGUAUCUAAUCCCGUUCGCUCCCCUGGCUUUCGCGCCUCAGCGUCAGAUGAGGUCCAGCGUGCCGCCUUCGCCACCGGAGUUCCUGUGGAUAUCAACGCAUUUCACCGCUCCACCCACAGUUCCGCACGCCCCUACCUCCCUCUAGGCCGACAGUAUCCAUGGCACUUCCCCGGUUGAGCCGGAGGAUUUCACCACAGACUUGGCAGCCCGCCUACGCGCCCUUUAAGCCCAGUGAUUCCGAACAACGUUCGCUCGGUUCGUCUUACCGCGGCUGCUGGCAC